rnacentral:rRNA from 1 species
GGAGCGUUCCCGUAGCAGAGAAGCCCCGGUGGAAACCUUGAGGGUGGAGCGGCGGGAAGUGAGGAUGCCGGAAUGAGUACGCGCAAAAUCAGAGUGAAAACCUCUGACACCGUAAGCCCAAGGAUUCCUGCGCCAUGGCAAUCAGCGCAGGGUGAGGCGGACCCUAAGGCGAGGCCCCAGAGGCGUAGCCGAUGGACAGCCGGCGAAGAUUCCGGCCCCGUCCUUGUACUGUUGAACCCGGGAGGGACCGUGGAACGAAGAGGGAGCGGCCUUGUGGAUGGCCGUCCAACCGCGUAGGGGGCAACCCCGAGACGGGAGUGCGAGCCUGCGGGGCAACCCAAUGGCGAGUCCUUUGGAGUCGACACGCUAGAAAAGCUCUCGGCGGAGGUACAUGUGACGUCCGUACCGCAAACCGACACAGGUGGGCAAGGCGAGUAGCCUCAGGUGAACGAGUGAAACGUGGUCAAGGAACUCGGCAUAAUGAUCCCGUAACUUCGGAAUAAGGGAUGCCCGGCUUAGGUGAGAGGCUUCGCGCCUCGAGCUGAACCGGGUCG